rnacentral:sRNA from 1 species
AAAUCAUCAUUGCCAUUGCCAUUUCCAAAAAGACUGUUUAAAAUAUUGGCAAGCGUCUUUUUACAUGUGUCUAGAUCUGAUUGUAAUUCCCAUUUUAAUAUCAGCAGGCACAGCUGUUUGGUCUAGAAAUGGAGGACAGGCCUCAUCGUCUCCUAAUUAUGAAGGACCCUUACACUCUUUGCAAAGCCGAAUUGAAGAUCGUUUAGAAAGACUGGAUGAUGCUAUUCAUGUUCUCCGGAACCAUGCAGUGGGCCCAUCCACAGCUAUGCCUGGUGGUCAUGGGGACAUGCAUGGAAUCAUUGGACCUUCUCAUAAUGGAGCCAUGGGUGGUCUGGGCUCAGGGUAUGGAACCGGCCUUCUUUCAGCCAACAGACAUUCACUCAUGGUGGGGACCCAUCGUGAAGACGGCGUGGCCCUGAGAGGCAGCCAUUCUCUUCUGCCAAACCAGGUUCCGGUUCCACAGCUUCCUGUCCAGUCUGCGACUUCCCCUGACCUGAACCCACCCCAGGACCCUUACAGAGGCAUGCCACCAGGACUACAGGGGCAGAGUGUCUCCUCUGGCAGCUCUGAGAUCAAAUCCGAUGACGAGGGUGAUGAGAACCUGCAAGACACGAAAUCUUCGGAGGACAAGAAAUUAGAUGACGACAAGAAGGAUAUCAAAUCAAUUACUAGCAAUAAUGACGAUGAGGACCUGACACCAGAGCAGAAGGCAGAGCGUGAGAAGGAGCGGAGGAUGGCCAACAAUGCCCGAGAGCGUCUGCGGGUCCGUGACAUCAACGAGGCUUUCAAAGAGCUCGGCCGCAUGGUGCAGCUCCACCUCAAGAGUGACAAGCCCCAGACCAAGCUCCUGAUCCUCCACCAGGCGGUGGCCGUCAUCCUCAGUCUGGAGCAGCAAGUCCGAGAAAGGAAUCUGAAUCCGAAAGCUGCGUGUCUGAAAAGAAGGGAGGAAGAGAAGGUGUCCUCGGAGCCUCCCCCUCUCUCCUUGGCCGGCCCACACCCUGGAA